rnacentral:rRNA from 1 species
CCUACGGGGGGCAGCAGUGGGGAAUAUUGCGCAAUGGACGAAAGUCUGACGCAGCGACGCCGCGUGAGGGAUGAAGGUUUUCGGAUCGUAAACCUCUGUCAGGAGGGAAGAAAGCGCAUGGCGCCAAUCAGCCAUGCGUUGACGGUACCUCCAAAGGAAGCGCCGGCUAACUCCGUGCCAGCAGCCGCGGUAAUACGGAGGGCGCGAGCGUUAAUCGGAAUUACUGGGCGUAAAGCGCGCGUAGGCUGUUGUGUAAGUUGGGGGUGAAAUCCCACGGCUCAACCGUGGAACAGCCCUUGAUACUGCGCGACUUGAAUCCGGGAGAGGGUGGCGGAAUUCCAGGUGUAGGAGUGAAAUCCGUAGAUAUCUGGAGGAACAUCAGUGGCGAAGGCGGCCACCUGGACCGGUAUUGACGCUGAGGCGCGAAAGCGUGGGGAG